AAUUUUACAACCUUUAUCCGCCCGGGGACUACAAGCAUCAGCUUGAAACCCAAAGGACUUGGCGGUGUUUAGAUCCACCUAGAGGAGCCUGUUCUAGAACCGAUAACCCCCGUUCAACCUCACCUCCCCUUGUUAAUUCCGCCUAUAUACCACCGUCGUCAGCUUACCCUGUGAGGGUCUAAUAGUAAGCUAAACUGGUACAGCCCUAAACGUCAGGUCGAGGUGUAGCGUAUGAGGAGGGAAGAAAUGGGCUACAUUCGCUACAAUAGCGAACACGAAUGAUGUCCUGAAACGUACAUUUGAAGGAGGAUUUAGCAGCACGUGGAAAAUUGAGUGUCCUACUGAAACUGGCCCUGAAGUGCUCAUACAUUGCCCGUUACUCUCCCCAAGCCUAACCUAAUAU
rnacentral:rRNA from 1 species